CCGUUAAAUGAUGACGUGACAUACGGAGUGUCACAUCAUCCUGCCUUGUCACCAACACCUCAUUGCCACAUCAUCACCUUCAAUGAUGUGACACUAACGUGUCAAUGAUUGGGCGUGAUGAUGUGGCACUCUAUCUGUCACGUCAUCACUUAACAGAA
rfam:Glycine max cultivar Williams 82 chromosome 10, whole genome shotgun sequence.